UGGGGAAUAUUGGACAAUGGGCGAAAGCCUGAUCCAGCCAUGCCGCGUGUGUGAAGAAGGUCUUCGGAUUGUAAAGCACUUUAAGUUGGGAGGAAGGGCAUUAACCUAAUACGUUAGUGUUUUGACGUUACCGACAGAAUAAGCACCGGCUAACUCUGUGCCAGCAGCCGCGGUAAUACAGAGGGUGCAAGCGUUAAUCGGAAUUACUGGGCGUAAAGCGCGCGUAGGUGGUAUGUUAAGUUGGAUGUGAAAUCCCCGGGCUCAACAUGGGAACUGCAUUCAAAACUGACUGACUAGAGUAUGGUAGAGGGUGGUGGAAUUUCCUGUGUAGCGGUGAAAUGCGUAGAUAUAGGAAGGAACACCAGUGGCGAAGGCGACCACCUGGACUAAUACUGACACUGAGGUGCGAAAGCGUGGGGAGCAAACA
rnacentral:rRNA from 1 species